GAUGAACGCUGGCGGCGUGCCUAAUACAUGCAAGUCGAGCGAACAGACGAGGAGCUUGCUCCUCUGACGUUAGCGGCGGACGGGUGAGUAACACGUGGAUAACCUACCUAUAAGUCUGGGAUAACUUCGGGAAACCGGAGCUAAUACCGGAUAAUAUAUUGAACCGCAUGGUUCAAUAGUGAAAGACGGUUUUGCUGUCACUUAUAGAUGGAUCCGCGCCGCAUUAGCUAGUUGGUAAGGUAACGGCUUACCAAGGCAACGAUGCGUAGCCGACCUGAGAGGGUGAUCGGCCACACUGGAACUGAGACACGGUCCAGACUCCUACGGGAGGCAGCAGUAGGGAAUCUUCCGCAAAGGGCGAAAGCCUGACGGAGCAACGCCGCGUGAGUGAUGAAGGUCUUCGGAUCGUAAAACUCUGUUAUUAGGGAAGAACAAAUGUGUAAGUAACUAUGCACGUCUUGACGGUACCUAAUCAGAAAGCCACGGCUAACUACGUG
rnacentral:rRNA from 1 species